rnacentral:rRNA from 1 species
ACGGAGGGGGCCAGCGUUGUUCGGAAUCAUUGGGCGUAAAGGGCGCCUAGGUGGCGGAGCAAGUCGGAUGUGAAAGCCCUCGGCUCAACCGGGGAAUUGCAUCCGAAACUGCUUUGCUUGAGUCCUGGAGAGGGUAGCGGAAUUCCCAGUGUAGCGGUGAAAUGCGUAGAUACUGGGAGGAACACCGGUGGCGAAGGCGGCUACCUGGACAGGUACUGACACUGACGCGCGAAAGCGUGGGGAGCAAACAGGA